AAUGAACGCUGGCGGCAUGCCUAACACAUGCAAGUCGAACGAAGGCUUCGUCCUUAGUGGCGCACGGGUGCGUAACGCGGGGGAAUCUGCCCUUGGGUUCGGAAUAACAGUUAGAAAUGACUGCUAAUACCGGAUGAUGUCGUAAGACCAAAGAUUUAUCGCCCAAGGAUGAGCCCGCGUAGGAUUAGCUAGUUGGUGGGGUAAAGGCCUACCAAGGCGACGAUCCUUAGCUGGUCUGAGAGGAUGAUCAGCUACACUGGGACUGAGACACGGCCCAGACUCCUACGGGAGGCAGCAGUGGGGAAUAUUGGACAAUGGGCGAAAGCCUGAUACAGCAAUGCCGCGUGAGUGAUGAAGGCCUUAGGGUUGUAAAGCUCUUUUACACGGGAUGAUAAUGACAGUACCGGGAGAAUAAGCUCCGGCUAACUUCGUG
rnacentral:rRNA from 1 species